GGCCUAUCAGGACAGCACUAUAACAGAGGUCACAAGGUUAAACACAAAUAUACAUACAUAUUCUUAAAUUGCUCAUAACAACAAACCCCAUUUAAUUUCUACAUUAGGAGAUCCUUAAUGUCAUACCUUCAAAUUAAGUGAAACAUUUCUCUAUCAUUCAAUAUUCAUCUUAAUUUGCUGUCAUCUGUAUAACACACCCUUUAACCAAUCAGCUGCAGGUACCCACCUACUCACAAACAACAUAAAAGGGCUGCAACUGAGGCGUGCUUCCUCUUUAAUCACCAGCACAAGAUGGCCUCCACAAAGGACUCAAAGGACAGGUCCUGCAGUUGGCUGUCAUCAUAAAUGUACGGAGCAGAAGAAGAGUCCAGUGAUGCAGAGUGCAAGAAGCAGCAUCAAUCCCACACAAACUCCAAUAACAGCAGCAGCAGGAAACUCUGAGGGAGAAACUGGAACCAACACAGAACAUUCUCACUUUGUCUCCUCUCCUGGAUGGAGCUGAUGUUGACGCCACUUACCUCUGUU